rnacentral:rRNA from 1 species
AGGACGAACGCUGGCGGCGUGCUUAACACAUGCAAGUCGAACGGAACUCUUUGGAUCAAGACUUCGGUCAAGUGAGAUUGAGUUUAGUGGCGGACGGGUGAGUAACGCGUGAGCAACCUGCCUUUCAGAGGGGGACAACAGUUGGAAACGACUGCUAAUACCGCAUAACGUAUUUCGGAGGCAUCUCUGGAAUACCAAAGAUUAUAUCGCUGAAAGAUGGGCUCGCGUACGAUUAGAUAGUUGGUGAGGUAACGGCUCACCAAGUCGACGAUCGUUAGCCGGACUGAGAGGUUGAACGGCCACAUUGGGACUGAGACACGGCCCAAACUCCUACGGGAGGCAGCAGUGGGGAAUAUUGCACAAUGGGCGAAAGCCUGAUGCAGCGACGCCGCGUGAGCGAAGAAGUAUUUCGGUAUGUAAAGCUCUAUCAGCAGGGAAGAAAAUGACGGUACCUGACUAAGAAGCACCGGCUAAAUACGUG